rnacentral:rRNA from 1 species
AACAAACGCUGGCGGCGUGCCUAAUACAUGCAAGUCGAACGGGGAAAGCUUUCGGGUGAGUACUAGUGGCGCACGGGUGAGUAACGCGUGGAUAAUCUGCCCUCGAAUGGGGAAUAACUAGUCGAAAGAUUAGCUAAUACCGCAUAAGACCACGACUACUGAGGUAGUUGGGGUCAAAGGAGCAAUUCGUUUGAGGAUGAGUCCGCGUAAGAUUAGCUAGUUGGUGAGGUAAUGGCUCACCAAGGCGAUGAUCUUUAACUGGUCUGAGAGGAUGAUCAGGCACACUGGAACUGAGAUACGGUCCAGACUCCUACGGGAGGCAGCAGUAGGGAAUAUUGGUCAAUGGGGGCAACCCUGAUCCAGCGACGCCGCGUGAGCGAUGAAGGCCUUCGGGUCGUAAAGCUCUGUUGUAAGGGAAAAAGUUCUGAUUGUACCUUACGAGAAAGGAUCGGCUAACUUCGUGCCAGCCGCCGCGGUAA